GAUGAACGCUGGCGGCGUGCUUAACACAUGCAAGUCGAACGAUGAAGCUCAGCUUGCUGGGUGGAUUAGUGGCGAACGGGUGAGUAACACGUGAGUAACCUGCCCUUAACUCUGGGAUAAGCCUGGGCAACUAGGUCUAAUACCGGAUAGGAGCGUCCACCGCAUGGUGGGUGUUGGAAAGAUUUAUCGGUUUUGGAUGGACUCGCGGCCUAUCCGCUUGUUGGUGAGGUAAUGGCUCACCAAGGCGACGACGGGUAGCCGGCCUGAGAGGGUGACCGGCCACACUGGGACUGAGACACGGCCCAGACUCCUACGGGAGGCAGCAGUGGGGAAUAUUGCACAAUGGGCGAAAGCCUGAUGCAGCGACGCCGCGUGAGGGAUGACGGCCUUCGGGUUGUAAACCUCUUUCAGUAGGGAAGAAGCGAAAGUGACGGUACCUGCAGAAGAAGCACCGGCUAACUACGUG
rnacentral:rRNA from 1 species